GUGGACGCCAGUCUGCGUGGAGCCGACCUUGAAAUACCACCCUUUAAUGUUUGAUGUUCUAACGUGGACCCGUGAUCCGGGUUGCGGACAGUGUCUGGUGGGUAGUUUGACUGGGGCGGUCUCCUCCUAAAGAGUAACGGAGGAGCACGAAGGUUGGCUAAUCCUGGUCGGACAUCAGGAGGUUAGUGCAAUGGCAUAAGCCAGCUUGACUGCGAGCGUGACGGCGCGAGCAGGUGCGAAAGCAGGUCAUAGUGAUCCGGUGGUUCUGAAUGGAAGGGCCAUCGCUCAACGGAUAAAAGGUACUCCGGGGAUAACAGGCUGAUACCGCCCAAGAGUUCAUAUCGACGGCGGUGUUUGGCACCUCGAUGUCGGCUCAUCACAUCCUGGGGCUGAAGUAGGUCCCAAGGGUAUGGCUGUUCGCCAUUUAAAGUGGUACGCGAGCUGGGUUUAGAACGUCGUGAGACAGUUCGGUCCCUAUCUGCCGUGGGCGCUGGAGAACUGAGGGGGGCUGCUCCUAGUACGAGAGGACCGGAGUGGACGCAUCACUGGUGUUCGGGUUGUCAUGCCAAUGGCACUGCCCGGUAGCUAAAUGCGGAAGAGAUAAGUGCUGAAAGCAUCUAAGCACGAAACUUGCCCCGAGAUGAGUUCUCCCUGAGACUUAGAGUCUCCUGAAGGAACGUUGAAGACGACGACGUUGAUAGGCCGGGUGUGUAAGCGCAGCGAUGCGUUGAGCUAACCGGUACUAAUGAACCGUGAGGCUUAACCUUACAACGCCG
rnacentral:rRNA from 1 species